AACGCACAUUGCGCCCCCUGGUAUUCCGGGGGGCACACCUGUUCGAGCGCCGUUUACAUCUUAAGGCUCAGCCUUGCGUUGACCUUUCCCGAUUGGGAUGGUCGAAAAACAUGAAGACUCCAAAAACGGAAGCAGUACGCAAAAGUAUUAGCAACUAGAUUUUGGGUCUUGAUUACCAAAAAGUAUGGCCUCGGAUCAGGUGGGGAUACCCGCUGAACUUAA
rnacentral:misc_RNA from 3 species